rnacentral:rRNA from 3 species
CUUGGUGUGAAUUGCAGAAUCCCGUGAACCAUCGAGUUUUUGAACGCAAGUUGCGCCCGAAGCCUUUUGGCCAGGGCACGUCUGCCUGGGCGUCACGC